UACAGAGGUCCCAAGCGUUGUUCGGAUUCAUUGGGCGUAAAGGGUGCGUAGGUGGUAUCGUAAGUUGGAUGUGAAAUCCCGGAGCUCAACUCCGGAACUGCAUUCAAUACUGCGGUGCUAGAGUACUGGAGAGGAGAUUGGAAUUCACGGUGUAGCAGUGAAAUGCGUAGAUAUCGUGAGGAAGACCAGUGGCGAAGGCGGAUCUCUGGACAGUUACUGACACUGAGGAACGAAGGCCAGGGGAGCAAACGGG
rnacentral:rRNA from 1 species